rnacentral:rRNA from 1 species
AUGGCGAUCUCCCACCUCACCCGCCGCCUCCUGAGCCCCUCGACCGCCACCGCCACCGCCAAGCUCUUCCCCGGCACGAGCUUCUCGAAUCCCCACGCCUAUGCGCGAAACCCCCUCCUCCUAUUCGACCCCCACCGCCGCUUCUCCACGAGCCCAAACACCAGCUCCAACCCCGACGCCGCCGCCGCCCCCGCUCCAGAAGCCACUCCCCUGGAGUCGAUGAAGCACCAGGAGAUCGAGGGCCCCACGGUGGAGCGCGACCUGUCGCCGCUCGCCGACGAGGCGCGGGCGGAGCUCAACGCCCUCCGCCGCGCCGCGCAGCGCCUCAGCGCCUCCCUCGCGAUCCUCGGCGGGACGCACCUCGCCGCAGGAGCGUGGAUCGCCUCCGGGGCCGCGCCCGUCGGGGUCGAGUCGGCCGCGUUGGUGCAGGGCGUGGCGGCGUUCGCGUUCCCCUUCACGGCCGCCCUGGUGCUUCGCCGUGUCAUCAAGCCCGUCGCCUUCUUCCAGAAGAUGGAGGCCAACGGGAGGCUGCAGGUGCUCACGCUUUGCCUCCAGGCCACGAAGAACGUUAACCUCAUGAUGCUCCGGACGCGGGUGGUCGCCAUCUCUUGCGCCCUCGGAGUGUCGGUCGGAUCGGUAGCUACGAUCUUGAUGCGGUAA